rnacentral:lncRNA from 1 species
GGGGGCGGGGCUCCGCGCGGCGGCCGUUAGGGGCGGCCGUUAGGGGCGGCCGUUAGCGCCUGCCCCGCCCCCCGCCGUGAGGGGAGCGCGGCGCCGGCGCUCCCGGAGACGGUGUUGCGCAGGGCUUCGAGCUGUAGCCGACCCGGAGCGGGAUCCUGUGACUUACUGAAGCAACUUAAAAAGCUGCAGCCCGCACUUGUUGGAGCCAAAUCAGACUGCGCAAGACUGUAUAUUCAGUGCUGCCAACGCUCCUCCACUCUGCCAGGCACCAUCCCACAACUCUCAAAGGCUUGCAGGAAAUAGUUGUAAGGCAUAUGAUAAGCGCUGUGUGACAUUUAGGGUCAGACCUUGCAACUGCUGGCUUCCAGACACGACGGUCAUAAAGGCUGUGCCCAGCAGCGGUCGUCUGCAGGAUCGAGUUCUCGGGAGAAUCCAGAGCAGCGCACAGCUAAGAGCGUGAAGGGAAAAGGCAAGUCUGCGAAGCGUCACUGAGACCAAGCCAACAUCACUUCCAGCUUCACCACUUCCAAAGGAAGUGACCGUGAAGCACAAGAGGAAUGCUACAGUCCUAUUAACGUUUUAAAAACAAUCCUACCUUCUCCCACGCUUUCUAUAUGGAUUCAGAGUAUUUCUCUUGACUUCUUAAAUGGAUUCCACAACUCAGGAAAAAGAUUUUUUUCUCCAACCCAACAAAAAUUUUGAUACUAAGUAGCAUUUACAGCUCUUUAUCCAAGUCAAUUCCUUACAUAUGUAUUUUCUACAACAUUAUUAAAAUGUACCUUUAUUUUUAAAGACAUACCUUUAUUUUUCUUGAUAAAAUAAACUGGACUUGGAUAACA